rnacentral:rRNA from 1 species
UACGAAGGGGGCUAGCGUUGCUCGGAAUCACUGGGCGUAAAGCGUGCGCAGGCGGUUUUGUAAGUCAGAUGUGAAAUCCCCGGGCUCAACCUGGGAACUGCGUUUGAAACUACAAGGCUAGAGUGUAGCAGAGGGGGGUAGAAUUCCACGUGUAGCAGUGAAAUGCGUAGAGAUGUGGAGGAAUACCAAUGGCGAAGGCAGCCCCCUGGGUUAACACUGACGCUCAUGCACGAAAGCGUGGGGAGCAAACAGG